GCCCAGACUCCUACGGGAGGUAGCAGUGGGGAAUAUUGCACAAUGGGGGAAACCCUGGUGCAGCAACGCCGCGUGAGUGAAGAAGUAUUUCGGUAUGUAAAGCUCUAUCAGCAGGGAAGAGAAUGACGGUACCUGACUAAGAAGCCCCGGCUAACUACGUGCCUGCAGCCGCGGUAAUACGUAGGGGGCGAGCGUUAUCCGGAUUUAUUGGGUUUAAAGGGUGCGCAGGCGGAAUGCCAAGUCAGCGGUAAAAUUUCGGGGCUCAACCCCGUCGUGCCGUUGAAACUGGCGUUCUUGAGUGAGCGAGAAGUAUGCGGAAUGCGUAGUGUAGCGGUGAAAUGCAUAGAUAUCACGCAGAACUCCGAUUGCGAAGGCAGCAUACCGGCGCUCAACUGACGCUCAUGCACGAAAGCGUGGGUAUCGAACAGGAUUAGAUACCCUGGUA
rnacentral:rRNA from 1 species